GAAUCCCGUCUUUGACAUGGACUACCUGCACGUCAUGGUGCGCUCUCAAAGAGUCGAGUUGCUUGGGAAUGCAGCUCAAAAUGGGUGGUAAAUGCCAUCUAAAGCUAAAUAUUGGCGAGAGACCGAUAGCGAACAAGUACCGUGAGGGAAAGAUGAAAAGAACUUUGGAAAGAGAGUUAAACAGUACGUGAAAUUGCUGAAAGGGAAACGCUUGAAGUCAGUCACGUUGGCUAGGAAUCAGCCUUGCUCUUGCAUGGUGUACUUUUCUGGUUGACGGGUCCGCAUCAAUUUUGACCAUUGGAAAAAGUCUUUGGGAAUGUGGCAUCUUAGGAUGUGUUAUAGCCCAGUGUCGCAUACAGUGGUUGGGAUUGAGGAAUUCAGCACGCCGCAAGGCCGGGUUUUUUGACCACGUUCGUGCUUAGGAUGCUGGCAUAAUGGCUUUAAUCGACCCGUCUUGAAACACGGACCAAGGAGUCUAACAUGCCUGCGAGUGUUUGGGUGGAAAACCCAUGCGCGAAAUGAAAGUGAAAGUUGAGAUCCCCUUCAAACAGGGAGCAUUGACGCCCGGACCAGAGCUUUUGUGACGGAUCCGCGGUAGAGCGUAUAUGUUGGGACCCGAAAGAUGGUGAACUAUGCCUGAAUAGGGUGAAGCCAGAGGAAACUCUGGUGGAGGCUCGUAGCGAUUCUGACGUGCAAAUCGAUCGUCAAAUUUGGGUAUAGGGGCGAAAGACUAAUCGAACCAUCUAGUAGCUGGUUCCUGCC
rnacentral:rRNA from 1 species